UACGGCGAGUGAAGCGGCAAUAGCUCAAAUUUGAAAUCUGGCGCUUUCAGCGUCCGAGUUGUAAUUUGUAGAAGGUAUCUUUGGUGUUGGCCCUUGUCUAUGUUUCUUGGAACAGGACGUCACAGAGGGUGAGAAUCCCGUGCGAUGGGGUGUCCAAUGCUAUGUAAAGUUCCUUCGACGAGUCGAGUUGUUUGGGAAUGCAGCUCUAAGUGGGUGGUAAAUUCCAUCUAAAGCUAAAUAUUGGCGAGAGACCGAUAGCGAACAAGUACAGUGAUGGAAAGAUGAAAAGAACUUUGAAAAGAGAGUGAAAAAGUACGUGAAAUUGUUGAAAGGGAAGGGCUUGAGAUCAGACUUGGCUUCGGCCGGGCCAGCAUCGGUUUGGAUGGUAGGAUAAUGACAUUGGAAUGUAACUUGCCUUCGGGGAAGUAUUAUAGCCUUUGUUGAUACUGCCUGUCUAGACCGAGGACUGCGUCUUUUGACUAGGAUGCUGGCAUAAU
rnacentral:rRNA from 1 species